rnacentral:rRNA from 1 species
AGUGAACGCUGGCGGUAGGCCUAACACAUGCGAGUCGAACGGCAGCACAGGAGAGCUUGCUCUCUGGGUGGCGAGUGGCGGACGGGUGAGGAAUACAUCGGAAUCUACCUUUUCGUGGGGGAUAACGUAGGGAAACUUACGCUAAUACCGCAUACGACCUACGGGUGAAAGUGGGGGACCGCAAGGCCUCACGCGAUUAGAUGAGCCGAUGUCCGAUUAGCUAGUUGGCGGGGUAAUGGCCCACCAAGGCGACGAUCGGUAGCUGGUCUGAGAGGAUGAUCAGCCACACUGGAACUGAGACACGGUCCAGACUCCUACGGGAGGCAGCAGUGGGGAGUAUUGGACAAUGGGCGCAAGCCUGAUCCAGCCAUACCGCGUGGGUGAAGAAGGCCUUCGGGUUGUAAAGCCCUUUUGUUGGGAAAGAAAUCCUAUCGGUUAAUAACCGGUGGGGAUGACGGUACCCAAAGAAUAAGCACCGGCUAACUUCGUGCCAGCCGCCGCGGUAACAC